GAGUUCCCUGGAACGGGACGCCAUAGAGGGNGAGAGCCCCGUCUGGNCGGACACCAAGCCAGUGUAAAGCUCCUUCGACGAGUCGAGUAGUUUGGNAAUGCUGCUCUAAAUGGGAGGUAUAUGUCUUCUAAAGCUAAAUACCGNCCAGAGACCGAUAGCGCACAAGUAGAGUGAUCGAAAGAUGAAAAGCACUUUGAAAAGAGGGUUAAACAGUACGUGAAAUUGUUGAAAGGAAAGCGUUUAUGACCAGACUUGGGCCCGGUGAAUCAUCCAGCGUUCUCGCNNGUGCACUUUGCCGGGCUCAGNCCAGCAUCAGUUCGCCGCGGGGAAUAAAGNCUUCGGGAACG
rnacentral:rRNA from 1 species